UUUUCUAUGUUCAGUGGACCGUGAAAUUGGGGUCAAAAGUCUAAUUUGGCUUAAAAAUUAGAAAGAUCAUCUCAUAAGCAACAAGUGUACUAAGUUUCAAGUUGAUUGGACUUCAGCUUCAUCAAAAACUACCUUGACCAAAAACUUUAACCUGGACGGACGAACGGAACCACAGACGGACGGACGGACGGACGAACGGAGCCACAGACCAGAAAACAUAAUGCCCCUCUACUAUCGUAGGUGGGGCAUAAAAAGUAAACCAUUAUAGGUCAAUGUACGUCCUUCAACACGGAGCCUUAAUUGGCUCACACCGAACAACAAGCUAUAAAGGGCCCCAAAAUUACAAGUGUAAAACCAUUCAAACGGGAAAACCAACGGUCUAAUCUAUAUAAGAUAAAAAAAAAAAAAAAAAAAAAAAACCAACGAGAAACGAGAAACGAGAAACACGUAUAAAUAACAUAAACAAACGACAACUACUGUACAUCAGAUUCCUUUUACAUCUGACAGGAUGUUUUAUUAGUAACCUUUUUGAUGGCUGCAUUAGACACAUUAAAAUUUCAAAUUGUAAUGUAUCGUCCUGAACUUGCCUGAAAUAUUUGCCACCGGAC
rnacentral:lncRNA from 1 species